rnacentral:rRNA from 1 species
UUCCCAGUGUAGCGGUGAAAUGCGUAGAUAUUGGGAAGAACAUCGGUGGCGAAGGCGUGCUACUGGACCGUAACUGACACUCAGGGACGAAAGCUAGGGGAGCGAAAGGGAUUAGAUACCCCUGUAGUCCUAGCUGUAAACGAUGGAAACUAGGUGUGGCUUGUAUCGACCCGAGCCGUGCCGUAGCUAACGCGUUAAGUUUCCCGCCUGGGGAGUACGCACGCAAGUGUGAAACUCAAAGGAAUUGACGGGGGCCCGCACAAGCGGUGGAGUAUGUGGUUUAAUUCGAUGCAACGCGAAGAACCUUACCAGGGCUUGACAUGUCGCGAAUCUCGGUGAAAGCUGAGAGUGCCUUCGGGAGCGCGAACACAGGUGGUGCAUGGCUGUCGUCAGCUCGUGUCGUGAGAUGUUGGGUUAAGUCCCGCAACGAGCGCAACCCUUAUUUUUAGUUGCCAGCAUUAAGAUGGGCACUCUAGAAAGACUGCCGGUGACAAACCGGAGGAAGGUGAGGACGACGUCAAGUCAGCAUGCCCCUUACGCCCUGGGCUACACACGUACUACAAUGGUUGGGACAAAGGGCAGCGACUCCGCAAGGAAUAGCGAAUCUCAUCAAACCCAGCCUCAGUUCAGAUUGCAGGCUGCAACUCGCCUGCAUGAAGGAGGAAUCGCUAGUAAUCGCAGGUCAGCAUACUGCGGUGAAUUCGUUCCCGGGCCUUGUACACACCGCCCGUCACACCAUGGAAGCUGGUCACGCCCGAAGUAGUUACCCUAACCUUUCGAGGAGGGGGAUUCCUAAGGCAGGGCUAGUGACUGGGGUGAAGUCGUAACAAGGUAACC